GGUCUUUUAGUAUAAUGGUUAGUACAGUUGCCCUUCACGCAGCCAGUGUCAGUUCGAAUCUGAUAAAGACUA
rnacentral:tRNA from 1 species